CUGCCCGCGCCGCGCGGGGCUGCGUCCGCUGCCCUCGGCCGCCGGCCGCCGCCGGCCGCGGAGCGGGACGGGGCGGGGCAGCGGCUCCCCCGCAGCGCGCUCCCCUCGGGCGGCCGCGCAGCCCCGCGGUGCCGGCGGCGGGGCGGUGCCGGCGGCGGGCGGCAGGGGGCGCCGGCGCUCCGCGGCGGCGCCCGGCGGCGGCGCUCGUGGCGCGGGGCAGCGGGCGGCGAGGCGCUCGGUGCCCUCGGGCCGUGGCGGCGGCGCCGCCUUUGUCCGCGCGGGCCCCGCGGCGGCGGCGCGGGCGCUGCGGGCGCCGCCCGGUGCUGGCGGCGGGCGCGGGCCGGGCGCGGCACCCUCCCGCCCUGCCCCCGCCUCGCCGCCCCGCUCCCGCCCGCCCGCGUCGCCUGCGGCCGCGCAGUGACGGAGCGGAGCUGCCGCGCCCCGCGGCCGGUUGGGAGGACCCGGCGGUCCGCGGGGUUCCCUGUGGGUCGCGCACCGCCCCGCGCGCGCGGCAGCCGGCGGCGCCCAGGGCCGAGGAAGCAUCUCGCUGUUCACCAACGUGGUUAUUGCAGAGUGGCCGCAACAGACCUCGCUGUUCCGGACGACGUUACGUUUAUUUUCAGCGCAGGAUUUACAAGGCCCAAAGCUGAGCGUGUCCUCGUCUGUGGUCGUUGUGUUUUGUGAAAUGUGUUGUGAAAAUGAAUUUUGCUUUGCGAAAUAUGUUGUGAAAACGAAUUUGCAUACAGUUCUCUUAGCCCCUGUAUUUAUUUAUUUAUUUAUUUAUUUUCUCUGGCUGCCCUUGGCAAGGGAGAAGUCUAGUAAGUUUUGUGGUUGUUCCUCGCUGGCCGCAGCCAUGAUGGCAGAGGGGGACGAGUCCUAGUGCAGCCUGUUCUCUGACUGACGCUAAUGGGGCAGCAGGUCCCCUGGUAAAUCACCCUCUAAUUAGCCCAGCGGUUCAUUUUCCUCAGACCACUGCAAAAUUCCUGUGUUUGGGUGACGUGACCAUGAUAUCAUAUGGCUACAGUGUGACUAAUGCUGUUAUAUGAAUAAAUAAAAAAAAGAGCCUCACCUUGUUCAGCUUCGCAAAUGCAGCGGCGCUACCAGGUCUUAGCUGCGCUUGCUAAGACGUUGAGGGUAGUUUGCAGGAGGAGCAGAGAGGCAGGUAGCACAGCGCUGCGUCGCUUCCUCCGUGGUCACCGGCCAGAUGUGCAGAGCAGAGGGAAGGAGAAGGGCCUGGGUUCAGAAAGUGUCUUUCUCUCAUGCUGAAGGCGGGUUUUGAAAAAUGCUAUUCCGCCUCACCGAGAGGACCCGGAGGAGGAAUUUCUCCUCUGAGGCUCACUGCCGCCUCUCGCUCCCUCGUGACUGUGCCUGGGUGUACAACCUAGCCCAUAAUAAUGCUUAUCCUUUGGGAGAUAUGAGGUAAAAUGGAAAAUUUUCCUGGCAGGGUUCAGCCAGCCAUAGAAUGUUACGAUUUAGAGAAGCCGUGCGAGGCGAGGGUGCAGUGCCGUUGGGACUGGCCACGUCGUGCCGUGGCCACAGUCGGCUGCGUCCGGUCUCUGGGGAGAAGGCCGCGGGGCCCAACCUGCCUCCCGCCUGUGAGUUCGGUGCCUUCCCCCCGUCCUGCGGAGAAGCACCUCGACCCGGGGGCUCCACAGGGCCCCGGUCUGUGUGGCGGAGGUGGGGAGUGCGCUUCCCACAGCGAUGGCGGGGGUAUCAGUCCCAGGAGACAGAGCUGGCUGCCUGCCUUGAGGGAGGACAGCUUCCCUGCUGCUGGGACGCUGCCUGCUACUAAACGAUACCAGGGCACCAAGAGGCUCAGACAAUCAUUCUGUUAGGAUUUUUUUUAUCUGUAAAUACGAGUAUUCAGAUUAUGAAAACAUUUGCUCCUGUAGGAAAUUCUGGGAUUUUUACAUGUGUUUUAAAUCCACAUAGAAAUAAAAGGAGUCUUUGGAAUAGUUUUGCAAAAUGAAGCUCGCCAAAAUAAUUUGUUUAGGCUGUUUUGAUGGUUUUAAUAUGUUUUAAUUUGUUGUCACUGUUUCGGCUUUUAUGGGAGAUUUCAUUAUGUCAUAUAACUGCAUGAAAUUCAAGCUGAUGAGAUGAAAUGUUUCCUCAGUUUCAUAUGAAAAGAAUCAAAGAAAGUGAUGCUUUUUCAUAAAAUACCUGUAUUUUGUUGAUUCAGCAUUUUCCGAGAUCCAUGAAGUAUUUUGGGAAAUUUUCAGUUAAUUCCAAUAGAAGCCUUAUAAUCAAUGAAGAUAAGAUUUUUUUUAAUGACUGGGAAUCCAUCUGCCAGGAUGAGAGAAUCUGACAUUUAACACAUUAAGAUUGACAAAGAUCAUUUUUUUAAAAAAAGCUACAGUGUAGUUUGAGGCCAAGGAAGUCCUAUACCCUUAACACUAUCAUUACAACAUAAUUUAGCUGGGAUGUUUUCUCGCCUUCACUUGUGUCCCUUGUGAAGAAAAAUAUUAAUACUGUGGGGAUCUCAUAACUUCUACAAAUCCCAUUUUCCCAUUUUUGUAGUAUAUCUCAUUUUCUGAUGUGUGUUGGCAACAUUUCAAAUUUUCUCAAAGUGAUCUUUUAAAUAUGAACAGCAUUACUGUUUGCUGCUGCUUGUUAAUGUUCGGUUCUGUUUGUUUUUUGCUUUAUUUCGAAGUGUGGUGCUAGGAAAAUAAUGAAGUUGAAAACAGACUGAUAAAUAAUAGGCACACUGAAGAAGACAAUUAUCCUGAGGAUUUUAGAUAUCUGAUUAAAACAUGUAUAUGAAUAAGUA